CCGUAGGCUAGAUCGGGAGGAUAGUCGUCUCCUGUUACCAUCAAUCGACUUACGAUGGGAUUGAAGUUCAGGAAGCAAUAUAGUUUGCAUUUAAGAGUCUUGAUUUCAACUAUGAUGCUUUGUCCUGCAGGGUUGAUAAUUUUGAAAACCAAGUCAGGGCAGGAAUGCAGCAGCUUUAAUCAUGAUUAUUAAUGCUUACAGAAAACAAAGUUAAGAAGGAUUCAAGGUUAACUUUUAUUUGUUUUCUAUGUCCAUUCUUGGACAUGCCUACAC
rnacentral:SRP_RNA from 1 species